ensembl:lncRNA
AUGGAGCUUGAUGGAGAGGCAGAACUCAGUAGUGAAGAAUAUCAAGCUGUCCUUGACCUGAGUCUUGCUUGGGACCUUCCUGGCCCAACCAAAGAAAACCGGAAGUGGCUUUUUGAGCGCCUAUUAUCACAUGCGGUCAUUGGAAGGAGAUUACGGCAGUUGAAACAAAUACGUAAAGGACUUAAAGAAACCAGAGUGUGGCCACUGUUGAGUGAAAGGAAAGAUGUGGAAAUCUUUCUGAGGGAAAAUGAAAAUUCACUCACCCCAUCGAUGCUGCUUCAAUGUAUCUGCUGGCCCUCGGAUAUCAAUGUGAAUGAUGAUGAUGACGACGACGAAGAUUGUUCGCUAGAAGAUAGAUGUCGCAUCUCGUGGUAUUUGCGUCACUUCAUUGAGACAGGUAUAAAUGUAUUUUUUAAAUAA